UACGUAGGUGGCAAGCGUUGUCCGGAUUUACUGGGCGUAAAGAGCGCGCAGGCGGUCGAUUUAGUCGCGUGUGAAAGCCCCCGGCUCAACUGGGGAGGGUCACGCGAUACUGAUCGACUCGAAGGCAGGAGAGGGUAGUGGAAUUCCCGGUGUAGUGGUGAAAUGCGUAGAUAUCGGGAGGAACACCAGUGGCGAAGGCGACUUUCUGGCCUAUAACUGACGCUGAGGCGCGAAAGCGUGGGGAGCAAACAGG
rnacentral:rRNA from 1 species